rnacentral:rRNA from 1 species
AACGAACGCUGGCGGCAGGCUUAACACAUGCAAGUCGACCGCCCCGCAAGGGGAGCGGCAGACGGGUGAGUAACGCGUGGGAAUCUACCCAUCUCUACGGAAUAACGCAUGGAAACGUGUGCUAAUACCGUAUACGUCCUUCGGGAGAAAGAUUUAUCGGAGAUGGAUGAGCCCGCGUUGGAUUAGCUAGUUGGUGGGGUAAAGGCCUACCAAGGCGACGAUACAUAGCUGGUCUGAGAGGAUGAUCAGCCACACUGGGACUGAGACACGGCCCAGACUCCUACGGGAGGCAGCAGUGGGGAAUAUUGGACAAUGGGCGCAAGCCUGAUCCAGCCAUGCCGCGUGAGUGAUGAAGGCCCUAGGGUUGUAAAGCUCUUUCACCGGUGAAGAUAAUGACGGUAACCGGAGAAGAAGCCCCGGCUAACUUCGUGCCAGCCGCCGCGGUAAGAC